rnacentral:rRNA from 1 species
GACGAACGCUGGCGGCGUGCUUAACACAUGCAAGUCGAACGGAAAGGCCCUGCUUUUGUGGGGUGCUCGAGUGGCGAACGGGUGAGUAACACGUGAGUAACCUGCCCUUGACUUUGGGAUAACUUCAGGAAACUGGGGCUAAUACCGGAUAGGAUCUCCUGCUGCAUGGUGGGGGUUGGAAAGUUUCGGCGGUUGGGGAUGGACUCGCGGCUUAUCAGCUUGUUGGUGGGGUAGUGGCUUACCAAGGCUUUGACGGGUAGCCGGCCUGAGAGGGUGACCGGCCACAUUGGGACUGAGAUACGGCCCAGACUCCUACGGUAGGCAGCAGUGGGGAAUAUUGCACAAUGGGCGGAAGCCUGAUGCAGCAACGCCGCGUGCGGGAUGACGGCCUUCGGGUUGUAAACCGCUUUCGCCUGUGACGAAGCGUGAGUGACGGUAAUGGGUAAAGAAGCACCGGCUAACUACGUG